rnacentral:rRNA from 1 species
CUAGAGUUGUAGGCUUUGCCUGCUAUCUCUUACCCAUGUCUUUUAAGUACCUUACGUUUCCUCGGCGGGUCCGCCCGCCGAUUGGACAAUUUAAACCAUUUGCAGUUGCAAUCAGCGUCUGAAAAAACUUAAUAGUUACAACUUUCAACAACGGAUCUCUUGGUUCUGGCAUCGAUGAAGAACGCAGCGAAAUGCGAUAAGUAGUGUGAAUUGCAGAAUUCAGUGAAUCAUCGAAUCUUUGAACGCACAUUGCGCCCCUUGGUAUUCCAUGGGGCAUGCCUGUUCGAGCGUCAUUUGUACCUUCAAGCUCUGCUUGGUGUUGGGUGUUUGUCUCGCCUCUGCGUGUAGACUCGCCUCAAAACAAUUGGCAGCCGGCGUAUUGAUUUCGGAGCGCAGUACAUCUCGCGCUUUGCACUCAUAACGACGACGUCCAAAAGUACAUUUUUACACUCUUGACCUCGGAUCAGGUAGGGAUACCCGCUGAACUUAA